rfam:Toxocara canis scaffold699, whole genome shotgun sequence.
CGUGCAGUAGCUCAGUGGUACGGCUCCCGCUUCGUAUGCGGGAAGACCUGGGUUUGAUUCCCGACUGCUUCC